rnacentral:rRNA from 1 species
GACGAACGCCGGCGGCGUGCUUAACACAUGCAAGUCGAACGGAAAGGCCCUGCUUUUGUGGGGUGCUCGAGUGGCGAACGGGUGAGUAACACGUGAGUAACCUGCCCUUGACUUUGGGAUAACUUCAGGAAACUGGGGCUAAUACCGGAUAGGAGCUCCUGCUGCAUGGUGGGGGUUGGAAAGUUUCGGCGGUUGGGGAUGGACUCGCGGCUUAUCAGCUUGUUGGUGGGGUAGUGGCUUACCAAGGCUUUGACGGGUAGCCGGCCUGAGAGGGUGACCGGCCACAUUGGGACUGAGAUACGGCCCAGACUCCUACGGGAGGCAACAGUGGGGAAUAUUGCACAAUGGGCGGAAGCCUGAUGCAGCAACGCCGCGUGCGGGAUGACGGCCUUCGGGUUGUAAACCGCUUUCGCCUGUGACGAAGCGUGAGUGACGGUAAUGGGUAGAGAAGCACCGGCUAGCUACGUG